UUUCCGGUUGAUCCUGCCGGGCCCGACCGCUAUCGGGGUGGGACUAAGCCAUGGGAGUCGUGCGCCCCCGGAUGCGGGGGCGCGGCGGACGGCUGAGUAACACGUGGCCAACCUACCCUCGGGACGGGGAUAACCCCGGGAAACUGGGGCUAAUCCCCGAUAGGCGAGGGGGCCUGGAACGGGUCCCUCGCCGAAAGGGCGCGCGGAGCUUCCCCGCGCGCCGCCCGAGGAUGGGGCUGCGGCCCAUCAGGUAGUUGGCGGGGUAACGGCCCGCCAAGCCGAUAACGGGUAGGGGCCGUGGGAGCGGGAGCCCCCAGGUGGGCACUGAGACAAGGGCCCAGGCCCUACGGGGCGCACCAGGCGCGAAACCUCCGCAAUGCGGGCAACCGUGACGGGGUCACCCCGAGUGCCGCCGAUAAGGCGGCUGUUCCCCGCUGUAGGAAGGCGGGGGAGUAAGCGGGGGGCAAGUCUGGUGUCAGCCGCCGCGGUAAUACCAGCCCCGCGAGCGGUCGGGAUGAUUACUGGGCCUAAAGCGCCCGUAGCCGGCCCGGUAAGUCCCCCCCUAAAGCCCCGGGCUCAACCCGGGGAGUGGGGGGGGAUACUGCCGGGCUAGGGGGCGGGAGAGGCCGAGGGUACUCCCGGGGUAAGGGGCGAAAUCCGAUAAUCCCGGGAGGACCACCAAUGGCGAAGGCGCUCGGCUGGAACGCGCCCGACGGUGAGGGGCGAAAGCCGGGGGAGCAAACCGGAUUAGAUACCCGGGUAGUCCCGGCUGUAAACGAUGCGGGCUAGGUGUUGGGCGGGCUUGGAGCCCGCCCAGUGCCGCAGGGAAGCCGUUAAGCCCGCCGCCUGGGGAGUACGGCCGCAAGGCUGAAACUUAAAGGAAUUGGCGGGGGAGCACCACAAGGGGUGGAGCCUGCGGCUUAAUUGGAGUCAACGCCGGGAAUCUUACCGGGGGCGACAGCAGGAUGACGGCCAGGCUGACGACCUUGCCCGACGCGCUGAGAGGAGGUGCAUGGCCGUCGCCAGCUCGUGCCGGCAGGAUCAACCGGA
rnacentral:rRNA from 1 species